rnacentral:rRNA from 1 species
ACUCCUACGGGAGGCAGCAGUGGGGAAUAUUGCACAAUGGGCGCAAGCCUGAUGCAGCCAUGCCGCGUGUAUGAAGAAGGCCUUCGGGUUGUAAAGUACUUUCAGCAGUGAGGAAGGUGGUGUCGUUAAUAGCGGUAUCAUUUGACGUUAGCUGCAGAAGAAGCACCGGCUAACUCCGUGCCAGCAGCCGCGGUAAUACGGAGGGUGCGAGCGUUAAUCGGAAUUACUGGGCGUAAAGCGCAUGCAGGUGGUUUGUUAAGUCAGAUGUGAAAGCCCGGGGCUCAACCUCGGAAUUGCAUUUGAAACUGGCAGACUAGAGUACUGUAGAGGGGGGUAGAAUUUCAGGUGUAGCGGUGAAAUGCGUAGAGAUCUGAAGGAAUACCGGUGGCGAAGGCGGCCCCCUGGACAGAUACUGACACUCAGAUGCGAAAGCGUGGGGAGCAAACAGGAUUAGAUACCCUGGUAGGAUAGCG